rnacentral:tRNA from 1 species
UCCCUGGUGGUCUAGUGGUUAAGGCUCUGUGCUCCCAAUGCAAGGGGUCAGGGUUCGAUCCCUGGUCAGGGAA